rnacentral:misc_RNA from 1 species
UCACUGCUUGCGCGGGCAGUCUUUCUAGAGUCCCCACCAUCACGUGCUGGCAACUAGAAAUAAGGGUUGCGCUCGUUGCGGGACUUAACCCAACAUCUCACGACACGAGCUGACGACAGCCAUGCAGCACCUGUCUCACGGUUCCCGAAGGCACCCCCGCAUCUCUGCAGGGUUCCGUGGAUGUCAAGGCCAGGUAAGGUUCUGCGCGUUGCAUCGAAUUAAACCACAUACUCCACCGCUUGUGCGGGCCCCCGUCAAUUCCUUUGAGUUUCAGUCUUGCGACCGUACUCCCCAGGCGGCGAACUUAACGCGUUAGCUUCGAUACUGAGUGCCUAGUUGCACCCAACAUCCAGUUCGCAUCGUUUAGGGCGUGGACUAC